GGCCGCCGGAGCAGGCCGCCUGAGCAAGCAGGGAAAGCAGCGCGUGUGCACGCGUGUGUGCGUGUGUGUGCAUGCACACGUGAGUGUGUAGACUUUGGAGGAGAAGAAGAGAGGAAAUACAGGAACCAGGCAGCGAGGCAGCCUCUUCCACACCGGCCCCAGCCAGCCUCGACUCAGGGCUACGCACCCACCCCACCAAGGCCCACCGGGGCCUCAGCCCCGCCUCCACGGUUCUUCCCGAGGACCCUUCCACCAGCGGCCGGCAGCUGGGAGAGGACACGGUGAGCAGGCUGGGGGCCCCCUGGCUGGCUCAGCCGCCCGCCGGGCAGCAGGUCGGAGCAGGUUCCAGCUGCCGUGUCUCCCCUUGGCCCCCGCUCACCUGGCCACAGGCCCAGAGACCAAGGACGAAGGCCCCUCCUGAACCCACCCAAGAAGCAGCCCCCUCCCCUCCGCUGAGUCAGGCCAGCGCCUCCACACCGCACACUCUGGACAGGUUCUCACAGCCAGAGCUCCGCAGCCCCGGACUCAAGCAGGACGGCGGGGUGCACCUGGGUCAGAAGGCAGCUGCCGGCACUGGGCUGAGCCCCCUCCACCUGGGACCCGGGAGCUCCGGCUGGGUGUGGCGGCGGCGCCAGCCUCCUCCUCUGUGAGUACAAGUCCUCAGGGAGCCUCCCCUCCCCCACCCACCCCCCCUCCCCCUCCCCCUCGGGCACCAGGCUCCCAAACCACAGGCCUGUUGUCUAAUAAUACCAGCGCCAGCCACCACCUCCAUCUGCCAGCCUAAAAAUAAUCCCUGCUGAGUCCAAAAAAGGCACAGCCCCCAACAGUCCCCCAGUCCCUCCCUGAUACGCCAGGGGGUUCCAGGAGAUUCCAGGGAGCUUGUGAUCGGGCUCCACCGGAACAGCACCCACCCCCUACCUGGGGGGUGGAGAGCCAGAGGCUUGCACGAGGAAAGCGGAGGACAGACAUAUCACCCAAAGCCAAGUGUGAGAUGGAGGAACGGCCGUGUCCACGUCAGGCCGCAUCCUGGUUGUCCUUCCCAGAAGGCAGGUGGGCCAGAGGGCACCAGGACAGCCGGCCUCGGGCCAGGACCUCCACCCACCCCUGGGCAGAUCCUCGGAGAGGUCCCCACCUUCUGCGGUCUCCCCGGCGCUGUCCUCACGGCCCUUCGGCCCCCACUCCCCAUCAAACUUUCAGGCCCCAAGUCAAAGGUCAGUUGAGCCCAGCCUGGCCCUGGCUGGGAACCUUCCCAUUUUCUCUCGAGGCCCUGGGGGAGGGGCAGGAUCUGCAGGCCCCCUCCUCCGUGGGCGCCUCUCCACCCUAACCCUCCUGACCCAGGCAGCAACGACGCUAUUAGCCGCCUUAAUUUGCUCUGGGCUAGAUUGUAUUCCCAAGAGCCUUUCCCCAGGAGCCACUGGCAGGAAGCAGUCAGCAAUCCACCCUCCACUCUGCUCUUGCAGCGGCUCCUCCAUGGACAGACCCAGCGACACCCACCCUGCCCGCCUGCCGGGCAGGUGCAGGCCUGGUCCAAGUGCCCGCGAGCCGAGGGAGCCCUCGGGUAAGGCACCGGGUGGACACAAGUAAGCGGGGGAUCGAAGACCGCGUCUGCUCGUAGUGAAGCGUCAGCACUCCCUACUCAGAAGCCAGAAAACAGGACAGCGGCUCCCCUCGUAUAGUGUGUGCAAGUUACCUGCCACAGCCUGUGGCCGGGCCUGGACCAGGAGGGAGCUCAGGGGCGGGGCGGGGUAGAGGGGCGGGCUGAGAGCAGCACCCAGUCCCCUCCCUUCCAGGAGGACAGGCAGGCUGGCUGAGACCUCGCUCACAGUCUGGCCCACGAGGAAGUGCUCUCCAAAACCUUCAUGAAGGCCCCGACUCUGCUCACCAGUCUUCUGCUUAUUCACGCAAGAACAGAAAAGCAGGAAUAUUCCUAAGAAAAAUAGGUCAGCUGCCUCGGGCAGGCUGGGCUCACCCCCAUGGGCAGGGCCAGGCUACAAGCUGCCUGUGCGCCCGGCUCCCCAGGCACCCAGCCCCUUCUGCACUCAGGAGUCUGGGCUACUGCGCAGCUGAGGCCAGAGCCCACCUUACAAGACAGACCCGUCUUCUGCGUCCCCGGGGCUCUGCCCGUGUGUGUCCCCACUGAGGCUUUCUCUCGGGGAGUUCAGGCAUCCUUCGACCAGCCCCUGGGCUGAGCCUCCAACUUUGGGAGCUUCUGGGCUGCCCACACUCAGGUGUGGAGCAGGGGGCAGGGAAAGUCAGGCGUCUGCUCCAAGUCUAGCCUUACUGCCACCCCCGGCCGUCGACACACAGGCGGGAGCGAUGCCCCACCUCGUUCCUAGAGACUCUGGGUCUCCUGUCUGCUGCAUUCACGUGCACACGCAAACACACAGCUGCACACACAGCAUGCACACACGCACAUGCGCGCACACACACGCGCGCACGCGCGUGCAGUCACCUCCAGCAGCUUGCACCAGUGACAGCUCUUUCCACAAUUCAGAUCCACUCUCACACAAGCUGCUUUACCCAUCCUCGGGCGCAGACAGGAGAGAGCUGCUCCCCGAGACCCGAGCCCAGCCUGAGGAGGCAUGGGACGUGCAGGGGGACAGGGAGCCUUUCAGAGAGAAGAGAGUUCGUCCCUCUCGGGCCUCACCCCCUCGCGCCCAGGUCCGCCCUCACUCCCUCAGCGCAGCAAGGCUGUGGCAGCCAGGCCCGAGGAAGGGAGAUCUGAGGGAGGAGAGCACAGGGCCAGGAGCCAGGACAGAGGGCAGCCAGAGCAAGGCUAGAGUUCAGCAUCUCCCGGCCAGGCAGCAUCUGCUCCUUGGGUAACCAGAUCCCAGCUUUCUGUCUCAGAGCCUCAAACCUGAAACCACCGGCCCUGGGACCCGGCAGCUCCAGGUCCAGCACAUGCCGAUCUUGGGGCCCGCAGCUGAAAGCUGAUUCUUCCCACACACCCCCUGCUCAGCUUCUCCUGAGUGCAGCCUGCCAGACACACCCCUGCCUCUAGCGUGUGUGCUGGGAACACACACACAUGCCACUUGGCCACGUCCUGAGCCAAGUCCUGCUCAGCUGAGAGGCUGCCCGUGGGUCUCACUAGCAGCCUCCAGGCCUAAACCUCCUCCCUCCCACCUUUGCUGCCAAAGGGAGGGAGGAGGGUCAGGGCCAGGCCAGGAGUACAGGGCACUGGUCCAGCUACCAGCAGGAUCUAAGUCAGAACCCACUUCAUUUGGGGACACGAGUCAUGCAGGAUUUGUAGUCAACAGGAGGAGGCAGCCUUGGCGGUAAAGGCCCGGGUCCUCCCCCCAGGCUUGCUCAGCAAACGUCUGGGAUGCAGACUCUAGUAGCCAUCUUCCAGGCUCUUCUGCACACCCUCCCCAACCUCUCCACUGCCCUCCGGACACACGUGACUCAAGCCCAUCCCUCCCUCUGUCCCAACCCGUUCGCCCCUCUGCUGGAGCAGCUCCUGCUCAGCCAAACCCUAAGGCUGGCACCGCAAAGUCCCUCCCCUCAGGAAUCUCCCGGAAGUCACCUCUGCCAGUUGGAGAACAGCUGAGCUCACACAGCGGCAUCUGAAUGCUGGCAGUGUGCAGGCAGCAGCCUCACAGGCCCGUCUCCUGCCCCCGGAAGGCUGUGCGUGAUGAGCUGCUUGCCUCCUGGGCUCCCUGCAUCCUUCCCACAAGGCUCUGGCCACCGACAAAACUCCAGUUCUGCAGAUCUUUCAAAGGAUUCCCGAGCAGCCCUCCACAUUUCCCCGGGCAAGGUCCGCCUGGGAAACCAAACUUGGUUCCCGACAGAGGCAGCAUCUGAACUUUACCCCAAGGCAUUCCCAGCUCCCAAUGCCCUGAAUGGCUCAAGGGAAAGAAACUGAGAGGGGGGCCUGGAAGCCCCAGACAGUGAAACUAUCAUCAUCAUUUACUUACUUACUUACUACAGAACGCUAAUGUUCACAAAAACCCUACAGGCUCAAGCUGUUAACCCCCAGUGAGGCAAGUGACAAUCAGAGAAGCGAAGCAACGUGUCCAAGGUCACAGGCCAGCAAAUGGCCGAGCCGGACUUGAGUCCAGGCCCUGUGACUAGACCUAGGUCCUUCACCUCCACACACAGAGCCCCUUUGGCUAAAAGGAUCCCCAAGACCCACAGGGGUGGCAGGCAGGGGUUCACGUCCAGCCACCUCAGACAGAAGAAGGCAAAAGCUUCAUAACCAACAACCUUCAAUCUGGGAAGUCCUUCCUUCUGUCUAGCCGCUUUGUGUGCUGCUGUAAUAAAGCCCAUUUGCCUUUCUUCUGUAUUUAAACUUGCAAAAAGUCCAUCC